AUCAGAAAACUUGGGUGGGUGGGUGUUUGGAGCACGUUCAAACAGCGUUUGCCAAAUGGAAUUACAGACACUACUUUAACUUCGUUGAAGUCAAAGGAACUAAGGACGAGGACAAGGACGAUGGCGACAGGAGCAUCAAGAGCAGCUAGCAUGAUAAGGAUUGCGGAUGGAAAGAAUUCCAAAGAAAGAGGGUGUACUCCGCCUCUCGUCAGCUGGGAUAGGCUCCAGCACCCCCGGGACACUAUGGAUGGAUGGACGGAUGGAUGGACGGAUGGAUCCACAUCUGAUUCCCGAACCUUGAUGUUAAAGGGCGUCAAUGUUGAAUAUUCCUGGGACGGGGAAAUCGGCGAAUAAGCGCUGAAACUGCAUGAGGGUUGUUCCGAUGAGCAAAGUCUGCAGAGAAAAAAAACAAAAGCAAGAAUUCAAACUUGAUUCCGAGGAGCCCGGACCGCCGCCAACACUCAACUCAACGGUCAAGAAAUACUUCAGCAUCGCAUCACAGUUCCUUGGCUAGUGGGCGACUUCCUGACAACGUAAAUGCCACAAAUCCCUGAAGUGUAGAACUCAGUGAAAGUGAUGUAGAGGUACACGAUACUUGAGUACCACCUAGUGGAUCAAAUGUGAAUGACACCUCUUAUGGCAACGAUGACUAAAUGUUUUCAAAAAAUGUUGAUUAUAUUGAUUAUGGCUGAUAAUGUGUAGCACAAUUAUCGACUACCAAAAUCUGUUAUUAUGACAGGCUUGUUCCUCAUAUUAAUAAUAUAAUAAUAAUUUAUUAUUUUAUAUUAUUUAUAUUAUUUAAUAACUAUAAUUAAUAAUAAUAAUAAUCAUUAUUAUUCCGACUGCCUACCCUCCAACAAUUAUUCCUCAUAAUAAUAUA